AUUUCAAAUACGAUCCUUUUCAGCUUCAAUUCAAUUCUCUCACAUCGAAAAAGCGAUAGAUAGAGGAAAAUUCGCUAUUUUUUCACCCUCAAGCUUCAGUCUCAAUGUCUAGGAGGGUGCUUUGUAAGUUCUUUGCACAUGGAGCAUGUUUAAAAGGGGAGCAUUGUGAGUUUUCACAUGACUGGAAAGAUCCGCCAAAUAAUAUUUGCACCUAUUAUCAAAGAGGAAUCUGCUCUUAUGGCAGCCAAUGCAGAUAUGAACAUGUUAAACCAUCUAGGUCAGAUCUUGCUUCUUCUUCAACAACAACUCCUCAGCAAUCUAUGGUAUCAACUUCUGUUCCUGUGGUCCAUCCUGUGAGAACUGGAUUUAGCAGGGGAACAUCAGUCCCAGGUGCUUCUGGAGAGCUUUCCGCUUCAAGUAGACCUUACUUUCCUCCCACCAAGCCAGCAUGGAAUUUGGUGUUUGCGCCUAACAACAUUUUAGAAAAUGGUGGCAUUAUAGAACCUAGGAAUGUUAAACCAGAAGGCCAUUCUCUCUGUUCAUUUGCUGCUGCUGGUAAUUGCCCCCGUGGAGUUAAAUGUCCUCAUAUUCAUGGUGACAUUUGCCCCACUUGUGGGAAACAUUGCUUGCAUCCUUUCAGACCAGAAGAAAGAGAGGAACAUUUGAAAACAUGUGAGAAGAA
rnacentral:misc_RNA from 1 species